GACAGGUCCGAGAUGCGGCUGCUGUGGGAAUUUUUGGUUUUCACUGUACCUCUUUGGUUUCCAGACUUGUAUUAACACAAUGCUUGUAAUACCGAAGCUAUGAAUGGGGCGGGGUGGGGAGAGCAGUACGCGCAUGGUUUUUGGUUCAAGUCACGUUUUAUCACUACAAGUUCCAUGCAAUUUUGGAGUCCUGUCAAAUCUAUCGGAGGAAUAUUAAAAGUAAAUCAGGGCUUCCUUUCGAGUCUCCAGGCUAAAGCAAGUCAGCUAAUUGUCCACAAUUGGCCUUCUGUGCUGCUGGUUACCCAAAAGAUUCCUCAGAAGAAUCUGAGGUCUUACCUAUGACAAAAACAAGUUAAUUAAGGGAAGAAGACAAAGAGCACCUCAAGGGAGAGGUGGGCCAAGCCAACAGAGUCACUGGCACUGGAAUGAUGAGGUUUCCUUUCUGUCGAGGCACCGGGUGUGAACAUUCUCUGAAGACUUCUCCGUGCCCACCAGACAGCAGGAGGGCCAGGACCCCUGCUGCAGCUGCAGCUGAGGCUGUAAAUGAUACCAGG